rnacentral:rRNA from 1 species
GACGAACGCUGGCGGCGUGCUUAACACAUGCAAGUCGAACGGAAAGGCCCUGCUUUUGUGGGGUGCUCGAGUGGCGAACGGGUGAGUAACACGUGAGUAACCUGCCCUUGACUUUGGGAUAACUUCAGGAAACUGGGGCUAAUACCGGAUAGGAGCUCCUGCUGCAUGGUGGGGGUUGGAAAGUGUCGGCGGUUGGGGCUGGACUCGCGGCUUAUCAGCUGGUUGGUGGGGUAGUGGCUUCCCAAGGGUUUGACGGCUACCCGGCCUGGGAGGGUGACCGGCCACAUUGGGCCUGAGAUACGGCCCAGACGCCUACGGGAGGCAGCAGUGGGGAAUAUUGCACAAUGGGCGGAAGCCUGAUGCAGCAACGCCGCGUGCGGGAUGACGGCCUUCGGGUUGUAAACCGAUUUCGCCUGUGACGAAGCGUGAGUGACGGUAAUGGGUAAAGAAGCACCGGCUAACUACGUG